rnacentral:tRNA from 1 species
GCAUUGAUAGUUCAGUGGUAGAAUUCUUAUCUUCCAUGUAGGAGACCUGGGUUUGAUUCCCGGCCAACAUA